UACGUAGGGGGCUAGCGUUAUCCGGAUUUAUUGGGCGUAAAGGGAACGCAGGCGGUCUUUUAAGUCUGAUGUGAAAGCCUUCGGCUUAACCGGAGUAGUGCAUUGGAAACUGGGAGACUUGAGUGCAGAAGAGGAGAGUGGAACUCCAUGUGUAGCGGUGAAAUGCGUAGAUAUAUGGAAGAACACCAGUGGCGAAAGCGGCUCUCUGGUCUGUAACUGACGCUGAGGUUCGAAAGCGUGGGUAGCAAACAGG
rnacentral:rRNA from 1 species